UCAAAUUUUCACCCAACAAUCCUCAACCUUUCACUGUUUCACACGCCGUUCCCACAUCUCGUCUCUCCUAUACGCCUCAAUCGAUCAUUUAUAUUUGCUUCUGCUUGCCCGAUUACGAUUUACGACAUCGAUCUAUCUUCUAGCUUCUGUUGCGGGAUUGCAAGAUCGAACUAUAAAUAUUGAUUCUUGGUAUAGACUAAAAGCAAGUAAAGCAACUGGGCAUACACUUUCCCAGUCUUCUACUCAUCACUGCUUCUUUAAAUCAGUAAAUAUUGUUCAGGGAAAAUGUGGAAAGUGAAUGAAAAGUUAACCAAAAUUUGCUUGGAAACUGUUGGAAGCUUUGUAGUCAUUCUGGAAGAACAAAUGGUUACACCAUAUGAUUAUUGACACUAAAAUCACGAACAUAAGACAUAAAAUAAUUUAUCAUUGCAACAUAUGCCUUGUAAAUGAGUUGCAAACCAAAUAUCUUGAGAAGAUACAUGUCAUAUGAACUAUAAGGCAAAGUAGUAAGAUUGUUCAAUCUCUAA